AAGGUUCACUGAAUGUCACGGAAACCUUAUAUCCGAGCUUUGUCCGACGUUUCAGAAUUUUCAUUUUUCCUCCCGUCGACUUUCACUCUUGUUAAGGAACGGAAAAAGUUUGGUGGAAUUAGACCAAUCUUCUUUGCAAAUAUUUCAUUACCUUAGCGGCUUCUGCGAAAAUCUUCGAUCUAGACAGAGAUUGAUUCAUAUUAGAGGAAGAUUUCCACCUCACAUUUGUGUCUGAUCUAACUUCCUUCUCGAGCGUCAAUCAUGGCCGCAGAACCUGAACACAACUCAACAGCCGAGCCUGAGCCCGAGAGUACAGCGGAGCCAAAAACUCUGUUUCCAGAGAUAAUGACCAAUCAGGAAGCGUUCCUGAUGUACGGGGUUUUUAUCUUCUGCCUAGCUGUCUUCUGCAUUGUGCUGCUGGUUCUCUACAUCAAGUUGAAGAAGAGGGUGAAAAAACUGAUGAAUACAACUGGAUCAGUGGACAUGAAAGCUUAUAAUGGUUAGCCAGGGGUCAGUAGAUGAAAAUUUUGGAUACUUUUGUCGCGUUUUU